AACAAACGCUGGCGGCGUGCCUAACACAUGCAAGUCGUACGAGAAAGGGUCCUUCGGGGCCUGAGUAAAGUGGCGCACGGGUGAGUAACGCGUGGAUCAUCUGCCCUUCAGUUGGGAAUAACUCAUCGAAAGGUGGGCUAAUACCGAAUAAUGCUGUGAGACCUCGGUUGAUCAGCCAAAGAGAGCCUCUGCUUGCGAGCCCUCGCUGAAGGAUGAGUCCGCGUACCAUUAGCUAGUUGGUAGGGUAAUGGCCUACCAAGGCGACGAUGGUUAGCUGGUCUGAGAGGAUGAUCAGCCACACUGGAACUGAGACACGGUCCAGACUCCUACGGGAGGCAGCAGUGAGGAAUCUUGCGCAAUGGGGGCAACCCUGACGCAGCAACGCCGCGUGAGUGAGGAAGGUCUUCGGAUCGUAAAGCUCUGUCGGAUGGAAAGAACCGCAUAGGGGUAAACAGCCCCUGUGUCUGACGGUACCAUCAAAGGAAGCACCGGCUAACUCCGUGCCAGCAGCCGCCGUAACAC
rnacentral:rRNA from 1 species